GUCGUUGUAGUAUAGUGGUGAGUAUCCCCGCCUGUCACGCGGGAGACCGGGUUCGAUCCCCGGCAACGGCG
rnacentral:tRNA from 1 species